rnacentral:rRNA from 1 species
GGAUAUUACAAGCAUAAGCUCAAAAACCAAAGGAUUUGGCGGCGCUUUAGACCCACCUAGAGGAGCCUGUCCUAGAAUCGACAAUCCCCGCUAAACCUCACCUUCUCUAAUAGCCUACAUACCGCCGUCGUCAGUCUACCCUUUGGGGGAUUAACAGUUAACAAAAUCGGUUUAACCCAACAUGCCAGGUCAAGGUAUAGCAAACGAGAAGGGAAGAGAUGGGCUACAUUUCCUACCUAGGAAAAACGGAGAGUGUUUUGAAAAAAAUACAUCAAAGCUGGAUUUAGAAGUAAGUAAAAAAUAGAGAGUUUUACUGAAAUUGGCUCUUAAGCGAGCACAUACCGCCCGUCCAUCCCUCCAAUUUUUAAUUCAAUCAUACAUAUAUAAUAAGCUAUAAUAAUCUCAGGAGGGAAAAGUCGUAACAUGGUAAGGGCACUGGAAAGUGCCCUUGGAAUAUA